CAAAAUAAACGAACAAUCAAAAUAAACAAACAACCAAAAUAAACAAACAACCAAAAUAAACGAACAACCAAAAUAAACAAACAACCAAAAGGGAUAAACAUAGUUAACUAAAUAUAUGACGCAUUUUAACUGUGUACAACAAAUGUAUGAAAAUAUAGUAAAAUUCAACAUAUUUGCUAAAAUAGUAUAUAUAUGUUGAAAAAGUAUAUAUAUAUAUAUAUAUAUUUGUUUAAGGACAUUACCAAAAAAAAAACGUUUAUCACAUACAAAAUAAUUCAUCAUAUAUUUGUGCUUCUUAAAAAAUACAUACGUACAUAUAUUUAUUCAUAUAAAUAGAAUACCUCGUAAGCAUUAACGAUGGAGUGGAAAAGUUGAAGGUUCACAAAUUAAGUUAUUUUAUUUUAUUUUUAUUUUUUUAACACAGGCACAUAUGUACACAUGUACAUAUGUAUGUAUGUAGUAUACAGUAUAUAGUAAUUAACGCAGGCGCACAUAUUUAAAAAAAAAAAAAAAAAAAAAAAAAAAAAAAAAAAAAGUGUUCCCUAUAAUAGUGCUUAUUCCCCAUAGUGCUUAUUCCCCAUAGUGCUUAUUCCCCAUAGUGCUUAUUCCCCAUAGUGCUUGUUCCCUAUAGUGCUUGUUCCCUAUAGUGCUUGUCCCUGUUAGUACGUGCGCUUGUGUUUUGCAUGCUUUAGUAAAACAUUAAAUUAUAAAUAAAAAAUAAAAGAUGAACUAUAAAUAUGAAUUAAAAAAGCAGAGCCUCUUAAUCGAUAUUGAUAUGCACAAUGAAACAAUAAAAGGGGAUACGGUUAUGAAUGUUGACAUGUAUAUGCCAAUUUAUUACUUGUAUGAUGAAGAAGACUUUUCUAAAAAUGGCCAUCAUAUAAAUAAAAUAAAAAUAAGAAAAGAAACAACAAGUAAAGAAGUGAUAAAUACUGGCUAUACUGAUAAAAGUAGCACAUUCGAUAGUUUUUCUAAUAUAAAUUAUACUAUAUCACAUGAUAGUAAUAAAAAAAAUGUAAAAGAUAUGUUAUUAGAAGAAGAUGAAUAUUAUAUACAAUUUAAAAACCAACAAAAAAAUAAUAAAAUUUUUAUAAUAUUACAAGUUCCUCAUGACAUACAUACAAGUAAAUAUUAUAAUGUAAACUUAAAUGGUUCAACAAAAACAAAAUAUUAUUUAAUUUAUAACACUACUAGAAACGAUUACAGUUGUGACAAAAGUUCAAAUAAAGAUGUUACUACUAUUGCUAAUUCUUUUUUAAAAAGUAAGGAUAAUAUGUACAGUGAUUGUGAUAUUUUUCAACAAAUCGAUAAACAUAUGAAUACUUAUAUUAACAAAAAAGAAUUGGAUACUGUAGGUGUUAGUAGUGCAGGUGAUGGAAGUGAUGGAAGUGCUGUGACUGAAACAAGUGGUACGAGUCAUACAAGUUAUGACUUAAAAUAUGGUUCUAAAAAAAAAACUUCUUUUAAAUGUAACAUGAGUGGAAUUGGUAAAGGGCUAUACCGAAAUGUGCGAAACCGGUCUAAUAAUAAAAAUGGUAAAAAAAACAACAAUAGUGGCAAUAACAAUAAUGGCAAUAACAAUAGUGGCAAUAACAAUAGUGGCAAUAACAAUAGUGGCAAUAACAAUAGUGGCAAUAACAGUAGUGGCAAUAACAGUAGUGGCAAUAACAGUAGUGGCAAUAACAGUAGUGGCAAUAACAGUAGUGGCAAUAACAGUAAUGGAAACAACAGUAGUGGAAGCAACAGUAGCAGAAAUAACAGUAGCGGAAAUAACAGUAGCGGAAAUAACAGUAACGGAAAUAAUAGUAGCUAUUAUAGCAGUGAAAUUAAAAAUAUAAAAUCUAAACGCCUAGUUUCAAAAAAGGAAACGAAAAAACAUAACAAUAAUAUACUCAUUGGUGAAAAUUUGAACACGAUUAAAAAACAUAGUAACGACACUUUUUCAUUUCAUAAGCUUAAAAAUAAUGUUGAUAAAAAAAGUACUGAAGCAGAACACACAAAUAAUAAUAGUAUGUACUACAACCCCAACGAAAAUCUAUUAAACAUAGUUGAUUAUGUGUCCUUAAACAAAUUCCAUGAUGAAAAUUAUUUAAAGGGUAAUAAUUAUUUGUUUAUAACUAUUGAUCAAGAAAUUUUUUUAAAAGAAAAAGAAAAAAAUUAUGAAUAUUUAAAAAAAUUUUGCAAAAAUAAAACUAUUUAUAUUAACAAAAAAGAUGAUUAUUACAUAAAAAUAAACUUAACUAUUAAUUUAAAAUUUUUACUUUUUAAUUUAAAUUGUUAUAAUAAUAAAAUAUUUUUUAAACAAGAUAAAGAAAAAUUUAUUUUGACUUUACCAAAUUAUUGUAAACAAAAUGCAUGGUUUCCAACUCUUUAUCUUUCUCCUGAUCAUAUUCAUACUACUUUAAAACCUUUUUGGUUUUUUAAAUUUAAAAUUAAUAAACCAUAUUUUGUUAUAUCUUCCAACAGUUUGACUAAUAUAUAUGAACACAAUAAUAAAAACUAUUUUAUUUAUAAAACUACAAAUAAAGAAGCGAAAUUAUUACCAUACCAAAUUGGUUUAUAUGCAGGUUACUUCCAUUUUCUACAUUUAAACACACUCAAAUUAAAGGACUUCGAAACUAUUGAUUAUAAUUUUUUAUAUAAU
rnacentral:lncRNA from 1 species